GAUGAACGCUAGCGGCAGGCCUAACACAUGCAAGUCGAGGGGCAGCACAGAAACAGCAAUGUUUUGGUGGCGACCGGCGGACGGGUGCGUAACGCGUAUGCAACCUACCUUUAACAGGGGGAUAACGGAGAGAAAUUUCCACUAAUACCCCAUAACAGCGUUCAAGGCAUUUUGAUUGGUUGAAAACUCGGGUGGUAAAAGAUGGGCAUGCGUUGUAUUAGGUAGUUGGUGAGGUAAUGGCUCACCAAGCCUACGAUACAUAGGGGGACUGAGAGGUUAGCCCCCCACACUGGUACUGAGACACGGACCAGACUCCUACGGGAGGCAGCAGUGAGGAAUAUUGGUCAAUGGGGGCAACCCUGAACCAGCCAUGCCGCGUGCAGGAAGACGGCUCUAUGAGUUGUAAACUGCUUUUAAACAGGGAUAAAGCACAGUAUGUAUACUGUGUUGAAGGUACUGUAAGAAUAAGGAUCGGCUAACUCCGUGCCAGCAGCCGCGGUAA
rnacentral:rRNA from 1 species